rnacentral:tRNA from 1 species
ACUUAUAUAAUAUAAACAAUUAUAUUUAAUUUCCAAUUAAAAAAUCUAUAAUAUAGUAUAAGUA